ACUGUGGGCGUGGCCGGCGUCUGGCGCCCGUCACUGGCAAGACGCUUCCGGUGCACGGCGCUGGCUGCUCUUGUUGACACUUUAUUGUUCCAAGUUGGUGAACAGAAGGAGAAAGUAGUAAUGCUGCGCCGCUGGGCCUGAUCCGGGGGGGAGGAGAGACCGCAGCAGAAGCCGCGCACGGGAUCAUGUCCUCCGGCCGCCAGGGCCAGCAACUCCCCGUGCCGGGAGGUGGUACAGGCCCGUCCUCCUCCACCUCAUCCUCCGCCCCGUCCAGCUCCUCUUCAGCCGGGCCCCCCCUGCGGACGGGACUCGUCUGUGCCACCAGCAUCCCCCGGCUCGGGGUGGCAAGCAACGGCUCGGCGCUGACUGGGAGGCCGGUGAGCUCGGGGCCCAGGAAGCGGCCGCUGCCCACCCCGCUGUGUAACGGGCUCAUCAACUCGUAUGAGGACAAGAGCAACGAUUUUGUGUGCCCUAUCUGUUUUGAUAUGAUUGAGGAAGCCUACAUGACGAAAUGUGGACACAGCUUUUGCUACAAAUGCAUCCAUCAUAGUCUGGAGGACAAUAACCGUUGCCCAAAGUGUAAUUAUGUGGUAGAUAACAUCGACCAUCUCUAUCCCAACUUCCUAGUAAAUGAACUCAUUCUCAAACAGAAGCAGAGAUUUGACGACAAGCGACUGAAGCUGGACCCAUCGAUUUCAGGAUUAAACGAGGUGGUGUGCAUCAAAAAGAGUCAUCAGACCACGGAUCAACAUAGGGAGCAAGGCCUGACCUUUUAUAUGAAUGGUCACCGAUGGCAGAUCUUCCAGGAUCUACUGGUAACCGAUCAGGAUAACUUGGAUUUGGCGAACGUGAAUCUGAUGCUUCAGCUUCUGGUACAGAAGAAGAGGCAGCUGGAAGCAGAAUCUCAUGCUGCUCAAGUUCAGAUCCUCAUGGAAUUCUUGAAAGUCGCUCGGCGGAAUAAAAGAGAGCAAUUGGAGCAGAUCCAGAAAGAGCUGAGUGUGGUGGAGGAAGACAUAAAACGCGUAGAGGAAAUGAGCGGUUUAUACUCCCCACGCAGUGAAGACAGCACUGUGCCGCAGUUUGAGGCUCCUUCCCCAUCACACAGUAGCUUAAUCGACUCAACGGAGUACAGCCAACCUCCUGGCUUCAGUGGAAGCUCCCAAACAAAGAAGCAGCCGUGGUAUAACAGCACGCUGGCAUCCCGUCGGAAACGCCUCACCGCACAUUUUGAAGACUUAGAGCAGUGCUACUUCUCCACGAGAAUGGCCCGCGUGUCAGACGACAGCCGGACCGUUAGUCAGCUGGAUGAGUUUCAGGAGUGUCUGUCCAAAUUUACCAGAUAUAAUUCUGUGCGUCCUCUCGCCACGCUCUCCUACGCCAGUGACCUGUACAAUGGCUCCAGCAUUGUCUCCAGCAUAGAGUUUGACAGAGACUGUGACUACUUCGCCAUUGCCGGUGUGACCAAGAAGAUCAAGGUGUACGAGUAUGGCACGGUGAUCCAGGACGCUGUGGACAUCCACUACCCAGAGAAUGAAAUGACGUGUAAUUCAAAAAUCAGCUGUAUAAGCUGGAGCAGCUACCACAAAAACCUACUGGCCAGCAGUGAUUAUGAAGGGACUGUGAUUCUGUGGGAUGGUUUUACAGGGCAGAGAUCCAAAGUUUACCAGGAACAUGAAAAAAGGUGUUGGAGUGUGGAUUUUAACCUCAUGGAUCCCAAACUUCUGGCGUCCGGCUCAGAUGAUGCCAAAGUGAAACUGUGGUCCACCAACUUGGAUAAUUCUGUUGCUAGUAUUGAAGCCAAAGCCAAUGUAUGCUGUGUUAAAUUCAGCCCCUCUUCCCGCUAUCACCUGGCCUUUGGCUGUGCAGAUCACUGUGUCCACUACUAUGACCUCCGGAACACUAAGCAGCCCAUCAUGGUGUUUAAAGGACAUCGCAAAGCGGUCUCUUACGCCAAGUUUGUCAACGGGGAGGAGAUUGUUUCUGCGUCAACAGAUAGCCAGCUGAAGCUGUGGAAUGUUUCCAGGCCACAUUGCCUACGCUCCUUCAAGGGUCACAUUAACGAAAAGAAUUUUGUUGGUUUAGCAUCGAACGGAGAUUAUAUUGCCUGUGGAAGUGAGAACAAUUCCCUCUACUUGUACUAUAAGGGACUGUCAAAGACCCUACUGACAUUCAAAUUUGAUACCGUUAAGAGUGUACUGGACAAAGAUCGCAAAGAAGAUGACACCAAUGAGUUUGUGAGCGCUGUGUGUUGGAGGGCUCUUCCUGAUGGGGGCAGCAAGUAGCAGAUCCAUGUUCCAGACACACUACCUCAGGUGCCUGCUGAGCCUAUUGCAUGUCACUGAAACUGUUAAGGCGGUACCUGCGGAGCUAUCCUAUCAGCCACAUAAGCAGUCAGGAGCCGCAGCAUUUCAGGGAUUCUGUUUCACCUGCCUCAGGAGUCAAAUGUUCUUAUUGCUGCUAAUAGCCAGGGCACAAUCAAGGUACUGGAGCUGGUAUGAAACACAGACGCCAUGUGCACGAAAGGAGGUGUCGUCUAACCCUCUCUUGCAGGAUCUCCACCUGCAGAACACAAAGAUCUUUACUAUGGAGACUCUCAAAGCAUUAUGUCACACAUCACUUCUGGACUCUCAUAAGACUUUUUCAUGGGGGAAAGAGUGGAGAGGGACCACGCAUAGAUGGAUACAACGAUUUAUGCUGCCAUUCUGGGGCUCUCGGCAGUUGCCCAGUCACUACUGUGUACUUUUUUUUCUUCUGGUGCUGCUUUAUACCUUAGUAAUGGGGGAGGGAGGGGCUGUAUCCUGUUCUUUGUGCGGUUCCUACUACCACUGAGGACAUAACCUGAGAGGUAGAGAAUGGCUUCAUUUUUAUCAUAGGGGAAGCUAUUUAAAAAAAAAAAAAAACAUCAUGCAAAAAAUAAAAAUAAAGAUUUAAAUAUUUCUAAGGACA